ensembl:lncRNA LINC02119 long intergenic non-protein coding RNA 2119
ACUUUGCAGCAGUUUCCUCACCUGCACGGUGGUUUUAUGGGCCGAAUGCUCACUAAACUGACUUAUUCUUCCCGGUAACCUGCAUACAGACCUCCCAGGCCCUGGCGUGAAGGUGGCACUGUGACUAGCUCUUGCCGAUGGAAUGGGAGGAGUCAGUUAGAAAUUUUCAUAUGGUCAAAAUACCCAUGGAAUAUAUGAGUGGCAGCAGUAAACAAUCCUUGAAGUUCUUGCUUGUUUAACUUGACUGUUGGUGAUGCCCAAUGAGGCCCUGUCUGCUCCAAGCAAAUUACAUAAAAAAGAUGUGAAUAAAAACUCAUCAAAUACUAACAGAGGUUCAGGAGUACAUGUGAAGUCAACUCCUCACUUUUAAAUGCUGCAAAGUGAGCAAACAUUGACUAGUGUGGCCAGACAUAGACAAUGGUGUAUUUAAUCUGCAUCUGAGAAAACUGCCCUAAGAUAAGGAAUAUGCUUAUCUUCCAAUUUGAGUUCUGUAAACAACAGCCAAGAGAGCAGGGGUGACGAUACAGCUGAGCCACAAUCAAGUUUCUUAUUAUUUUCCAGGCACAGAAGAUUCCAGUCCACAUCCUUUCUUCCUUUCAUUCCCAAGAUAUAGCAAUAGAAGUCUGAAGACGGUAAACUCUAAUAACUGUUCCCUGAAUAGAAAAUAACAAGCCUUCCCCUCCAUACCUAACAGUCCCCAAUACAAUUGGUGUUCAUAAUAUGCAGUUUGAAGACAAUGAUGACCAAUGACCAAAGGCAUAAUCUGAAUCACAGCCCUAUAUCAGUGCUCUGGACCCACAUAUCCUCUUGCUUACCCAGUGAUGUUUACCAGGAGGCAUCUUGCCAGAAAGGAAAUCAGCUGUGGGGGCUAUACAGUUCCAGGAGCCAGCCCAUCAAGAAGGCAUUUGUGAGUUUCAGGGCGUGGGGAUACAGUGGAACAAAAGUGGUGUCUGUUUGCUUGCAUCAUGGAAGCAGCAUUGGAAGAAAUCACUCCUGACCAACCGAUGCCAGUUGGUGGAGCCCAGAUUUUUAAAACUAGCUGAUUGCCCAUCAAGAAGGAUGUCCAAGGGAUGAACCCACCAGCCUGACUCUCUCCCUCCCUCUGUUUGAUUUUUUCAGGAGUGCUACUCUGUGAUAGGCUGCACUCAUGUGAUGAUUACUGUAUUGUGCAUUUGCUGAUUCUUAUGAUGUACAGACUUUCCAAAGCUCAGCUGCUUUAUAAUGUCCAAAUUAAUACCAACAGCAUUUCUGGGAAGAGGAAGGGAACUACUGUGACAUAUGGACCAAAUCUGAUGAUUCACAUAAAACUCAUCAUCAUUAUUUUACCUCCUUUGUCCCCUUCUAGUCCUUUAAGAAAUAAGAAUCAAUCAUUGUCA